rnacentral:misc_RNA from 1 species
AAAGUCGUAACAAGGUUUCCGUAGGUGAACCUGCGGAAGGAUCAUUACCAAUAUAGCGAACCGAGCGUUAGCGAGGCUUCGCGAUCAAUUUGUAUUUAAAACCCAACUCUUUAAAUUAUAUUAUUAUUAUAUUUUAAAUAAUAAAAAGAUCACUUUCAACAACGGAUCUCUUGGCUCUC